rnacentral:lncRNA from 1 species
UGGAAUUUUGAGGGGUUUAAGUGCAAAAGAGUAUGUGUGGGUGUAACAUACCGAACUUCGAAAAUCAUGAAGUCACUGUGUACAUUUAAAUGUUUCCGGUGAGGUUGCGGUGUAAUGUAACAUACCGGAUUUUAAAUAUAAAAGUAAAAAUAAAUAAAAAUAGUAUGAGAUACUAUUUUAUCUGAUUUAGAGAAGCGAAAUAUAGGUUGGGAGUGACCUGUGCUGAAAUCGGAGCGAAAACAGAAGAUUUAAAAUUUUCUGGGAGAAACGGGGCAGAUAAAUUCGCAGAAAAUGCACAGUUUCAGAAAAUUAUGAAAAUUGAAGAAUAUGUCAGAAAUAUUUUUAUGAGGCUAGAUUUAAAGUUUCAUAUUUUUCUGA